GGAGCUGUAGCUCAGUCGGUUAGAGCGCCUGCCUGUCACGCAGGAGGCCGCGGGUUCGAGCCCCGUCAGCUCCGCAA
rnacentral:tRNA from 1 species